rnacentral:rRNA from 1 species
UACGUAGGGGGCAAGCGUUGUCCGGAUUUAUUGGGCGUAAAGAGCGUGUAGGCGGCUUUGCAAGUCCGUUGUGAAAAUUCGAGCUCAACCUCGAGACGCCGGUGGAAACUGCAAAGCUAGAGUCCGGAAGGAGGAGAGUGGAAUUCCUGGUGUAGCGGUGAAAUGCGCAGAUAUCAGGAAGAACACCCGUGGCGAAGGCGGCUCUCUGGGACGGUACUGACGCUGAGACGCGAAAGCGUGGGGAGCGAACAGG